UACAGAGGUCUCAAGCGUUGUUCGGAUUCAUUGGGCGUAAAGGGUGUGUAGGUGGCGCGCUAAGUCGGGGUGUGAAAUUUUGGAGCUUAACUCCGAAACUGCAUUCGAUACUGGCGUGCUUGAGGACUGGAGAGGAGACUGGAAUUCAUGGUGUAGCAGUGAAAUGCGUAGAGAUCAUGAGGAAGACCAGUGGCGAAGGCGGGUCUCUGGACAGUUCCUGACACUGAGACACGAAGGCCAGGGGAGCAAACGGG
rnacentral:rRNA from 1 species